GCUCAGUGUGCGUUAACUGGGGUGAGGCUAUCCUCCCAGCUCUACCAGUGACGACCCAGCCCGUGUGCCCCCACUGCCCAUCGAUAACAGUUCGGGCAGUAACCAGCUCUAGCAAGUGGCCAGGACCUGCU